rnacentral:rRNA from 1 species
GAUGAACGCUAGCGGCAGGCUUAAUACAUGCAAGUCGUGGGGCAGCAGGACGGUAGCAAUACCGUUGCUGGCGACCGGCAAACGGGUGCGGAACACGUACACAACCUUCCUUUAAGUGGGGGAUAGCCCGGGGAAACCCGGAUUAAUACCCCGUAAUAUAUAGAAGCGGCAUCGUUUUUAUAUUAUAGCUCCGGCGCUUAGAGAUGGGUGUGCGGCUGAUUAGAUAGUUGGCGGGGUAACGGCCCACCAAGUCGACGAUCAGUAACUGGUGUGAGAGCACGACCAGUCACACGGGCACUGAGACACGGGCCCGACUCCUACGGGAGGCAGCAGUAAGGAAUAUUGGUCAAUGGACGCAAGUCUGAACCAGCCAUGCCGCGUGGAGGAUGAAGGUCCUCUGGAUUGUAAACUUCUUUUAUUUGGGAAGAAAUCUAUCUUUUCUUGGAUAGUUGACGGUACCAGAUGAAUAAGCACCGGCUAACUCCGUGCCAGCAGCCGCGGUAAUACGGAGGGUG